rnacentral:rRNA from 1 species
UACGGAGGAUGCAAGCGUUAUCCGGAAUUAUUGGGCGUAAAGCGUCCGCAGGUGGCUAAUCAAGUCUGCUGUUAAAGACAGAAGCUCAACUUCUGGUCGGCGGUGGAAACUGGAUAGCUAGAGUACGGUAGGGGUUGAGGGAAUUCCCAGUGUAGCGGUGAAAUGCGUAGAUAUUGGGAAGAACACCAGUGGCGAAGGCGCUCAACUGGGCCGUAACUGACACUGAGGGACGAAAGCUAGGGGAGCGAAAGGG